GGUCUUAUAGUGUAGCGGUUAGCACCUCGGAUUCUGAUCAGGCUUGAAUUGCCUCACUAUUCCGGUGACGUUCGUAAAACGAAAAACGCUUGUGUUGUACAUCUAGCUAACAGUUUGUAGCCCGGUUCGAAUCCGGGUAAGACCU